UGCAGUGACAGAAGCAGAUGGAGGUAAUUGAGCAAUCAUCUGCAGGGAGCGGCCCCCGGUGAUUGGUUUAUUGGAGGCACAUGACUCCCCGCUAUAUAACACCCAGCACGGCGCUCUGGUCAGCAGCAGUACUGUGAGGUUGGUUAUCAGGCUCCUUGAAUAAUCCAGAAUGAAGUGCUCCUCCAACGCUGUGAACAAAAUGGAAGCUGGCAGCCAGAGAUCUGCAGGGAAGAAAAGCCGCACAAAGUCCAAGGACUACUCCAGAUUCAUCUACAAGGUUCUAAAACGGGGACCUCAGGGGCGGGACAUCUGUUUGGCCAAAGAAUCUGAGCUGAUGGUGUCCAUAGCAUCUGAAGCAGCCAGGCUGUCCAUAUAUAACAGGAGAACCAUCACCAGACGGGAGGUGGAGUCUGCUGUGAAGAAC